AGCAGCCGCGGUAAUUCCAGCUCCAAUAGCGUAUAUUAAAGUUGUUGCAGUUAAAAGCUCGUAGUUGAAUUUCGGGACCAAUUUGUUGGUCGUGCCUCGGUACGUACUGUCAUUACUGGUUUCUACCUUCUGAAGAACCUUGAUGUCAUUAAUUUGGUGUCUUGGGGAAUCAGGACUGUUACUUUGAAAAAUUAGAGUGUUUAAAGCAAGCAUACGCUUGAAUACAUUAGCAUGGAAUAAUGAAAUAGGACGUUUGAUUCUAUUUUGUUGGUUUCUAGGAUCGACGUAAUGAUUAAUAGGGAUAGUUGGGGGCAUUAGUAUUCAAUUGUCAGAGGUGAAAUUCUUGGAUUUAUUGAAGACUAACUACUGCGAAAGCAUUUGCCAAGGAUGUUUUCAUUAAUCAAGAACGAAAGUUAGGGAUCGAAGACGAUCAGAUACCGUCGUAGUCUU
rnacentral:rRNA from 1 species